UGGCCUAGAGGGGAGUGCUUUCCCAGAGCCAAUGGCUGUCAGGCACACAUCUCACACACAGCACAGCUGUGAUGAUGGAUUCUACAGCCACUUCAGUUGCACACAAGUACUUUUGUGACACAACAGGAAAUUUGUAGUUUUCUUGGAUUCCCCCAGAGAGAAGAAUAUUACAACGUGUGACCAUGUUUCAGCCCAGACACUUUCAUUCUGAGGCCUUCAUUCUUCAUUUAAGAAAGAAUUGACCUCCUAUCUCUGUGUUUCCACAGCCCUGUCGCAAGGACCUAUCGGCCUAGGCAUUCUCCAUGGACCACAAAUGGUGUCUCACGGCAGUGGUGAAUCAAAAAGAUAUACUGUGUUGGGGGUGGGGGGUCCCAUAUCUCCUGAAACAGCAGAAGAAAAGUAGACACAGCGAGGAUGUCUCCAGAAACAGAACGGUCAGAGUGACUCUGCUACAGAAAAAGCUGAGGAAAGCCAGGAGCUCCCUCUUCUUGAUUUGGCCAAGAAUGAGGCGACGCACAACCAGAAGGGAGGGCUUGCCCCGCGGAGCACGAGAGCUGCUUUCCUUUCCACGUUUUAUGUUGCUUCACGGGAUUGAGUGGGGGUGGGGGGACAUCAGAGAACACUUUGCUUUCAUGUGCGUCCAUUUUUCUCACUGAGAGGCUACCGUCCAACCCACUGCGGGGGUGGGGGGUGGGGAGGCAAACUCUUACUUUCUUCAGAGAGGUCGUUCUCCUCCGCUUCUCUCUCCAUCUCCUUACACCAGC